rnacentral:rRNA from 1 species
AUUGAACGCUGGCGGCAUGCCUUACACAUGCAAGUCGAACGGCAGCGGACCUUCGGGUGCCGGCGAGUGGCGAACGGGUGAGUAAUAUAUCGGAACGUACCUUUCAGUGGGGGAUAACGUAGCGAAAGUUACGCUAAUACCGCAUAUUCUGUGAGCAGGAAAGCAGGGGAUCGCAAGACCUUGCGCUGAUUGAGCGGCCGAUAUCAGAUUAGCUAGUUGGUGAGGUAAAGGCUCACCAAGGCGACGAUCUGUAGCGGGUCUGAGAGGAUGAUCCGCCACACUGGAACUGAGACACGGUCCAGACUCCUACGGGAGGCAGCAGUGGGGAAUUUUGGACAAUGGGCGCAAGCCUGAUCCAGCCAUGCCGCGUGAGUGAUGAAGGCCUUC